rnacentral:rRNA from 1 species
AACGAACGCUGGCGGCAUGCCUAACACAUGCAAGUCGAACGAGACCUUCGGGUCUAGUGGCGCACGGGUGCGUAACGCGUGGGAAUCUGCCCUUCGGUUGGGAAUAACUGAGAGAAAUUUCAGCUAAUACCUUAUAAUGUCUUCGGACCAAAGAUUUAUCGCCGAGGGAUGAGCCCGCGUAGGAUUAGGUAGUUGGUGGGGUAAUGGCCUACCAAGCCGACGAUCCUUAGCUGGUCUGAGAGGAUGAUCAGCCACACUGGGACUGAGACACGGCCCAGACUCCUACGGGAGGCAGCAGUGGGGAAUAUUGGACAAUGGGCGAAAGCCUGAUCCAGCAAUGCCGCGGGAGUGAUGAAGGCCUUAGGGUUGUAAAGCUCUUUUACCCGGGAUGAUAAUGACAGUACCGGGAGAAUAAGCUCCGGCUAACUCCGUG